CCAUUAUCACAAACAGUUGUUAAUUUCUUUGUGGUGAAAACAUUUGGAAUCUUUUUUUCCAGAUUUUGUGAAAAAGGUGUGAUGUUGUGUUAACCUCUGGUCACUGUGCUGUGGAACAGAAGAACAAUUCAUUCCUCUCAUCUAAGUGUAAUUUUGUACCUAUUUCUGAUCUCUGUCCGUGCCCCCUCUUCCCUCCAACCUCUGAUAACCACUGUUGUGCUCUCUAGAUACAUGCAAUAAAGCGUUUUAUUUCGGAUUCUACAUGAGUGAGAUGCGGCAGUGUUUUUCUUUCUCUGCCUGGUUUAGAUCAUUUACCAUGAUGUCUUCCAGGUUCAACAGUAUGGCUCCAAAUGAUGAAAUUUCAUUCUGUUUUUCUGGCUGAAUACUAUUCUAUUUGUAGACAUCCACCACAGUUACUUUAUCCCUUCAUGUGUGGAUGGGCAGGUUUUUCCACAUGGCUGCAAAUGACUAGAUUUCACUCAUUUCUGUGGUUGAAGAAUAUUCCAUUCUGGAUGUAUAUUGCAGUUUCCUCAUCCCUUCAUCAAUGAAUGAACAGGUAGGUGUAUUUCCUGUCUUAGCUAUUGUGAGUACCACAGUACACAGGGCAAGGCAGGUAUCUCUUCCACACAGGAAUUUCGUUGGCUGUAAAUGUAUAACCAAUGGCGGGAUGGCUAGAUGAAAUGGCGUUUUUACUUUGAGGAACUUCUGGCUGUUUUUCCUAAUGUGUGUACAAAUUGACAUUCCUACCAAUCGUGUAUUAGAAGAGUUUCCCCUUCUGCAAGUCUAUACCAGUUGUUUCCUUUUCAAACUUUUAUUUUUGUUUUAGGUAACAUUCAUUCUAUGAGAGUGGAAGUGGUAUCUCAGUGUGGUUUUCCUUCACAUUCUCGUGAGGAUUAGAGCUUUUGAGAAACUUUUCUUUUACCUGUGAGUCAGUUUCACGUCUACUUUUCAGACAUGUCUAUUCAGGUCCUUGGUCCAAACUUAGCUUGGGUGUUUGUUUUUGCUUCUGUUUUUAUUUUCCCCCCACAUGGUAGUGUUAGUUUCUUGCACGUAUUUUAUAAUGACCCCUUUCAAAGACAGGAUUUUCCAUAGUUUUCUUUCAGUCUGUGAGUUGCCUUCUCUUCUGGUUCGUUGUUUUCUUUUCCCUACAUAAGAUCCAAU
rnacentral:lncRNA from 1 species